rnacentral:rRNA from 1 species
GACGAACCGAGCGAACGUUGUUCGGAAUCACUGGGCUUAAAGCGCGCGUAGGCGGCCCUGUAAGUCCGUUGUGAAAGUCGAAGGCUCAACCUUCGAAAGCCGAUGGAUACUGCGGGGCUAGAGUCCGGAAGAGGCGAGUGGAAUUCCUGGUGUAGCGGUGGAAUGCGCAGAUAUCAGGAGGAACACCAAUAGCGAAGGCAGCUCGCUGGGACGGUACUGACGCUGAUGCGCGAAAGCCAGGGGAGCAAACGGG